AACUCUGAUUCAUCCCUUCAACAUAAAUCAAAGUAUUUGGUCAUGUGAAAGCACUGAAUGAGCCUAGAGCAAUAUUUUCUUCAGGAAGGCACUUAAACCCUUCUAUUGUUCUUCAUUUACCCUUUACAGCUGACAU